rnacentral:rRNA from 1 species
GAUGAACGCUGGCGGCGUGCCUAAUACAUGCCAGUCGAGCGAACGGACGAGAAGCUUGCUUCUCUGAUGUUAGCGGCGGACGGGUGAGUAACACGUGGAUAACCUACCUAUAAGACUGGGAUAACUUCGGGAAACCGGAGCUAAUACCGGAUAAUAUUUUGAACCGCAUGGUUCAAAAGUGAAAGACGGUCUUGCUGUCACUUAUAGAUGGAUCCGCGCUGCAUUAGCUAGUUGGUAAGGUAACGGCUUACCAAGGCAACGAUGCAUAGCCGACCUGAGAGGGUGAUCGGCCACACUGGAACUGAGACACGGUCCAGACUCCUACGGGAGGCAGCAGUAGGGAAUCUUCCGCAAUGCGCGAAAGCCUGACGGAGCAACGCCGCGUGAGUGAUGAAGGUCUUCGGAUCGUAAAACUCUGUUAUUAGGGAAGAACAUAUGUGUAAGUAACUGUGCACAUCUUGACGGUACCUAAUCAGAAAGCCACGGCUAACUACGUG